UACAAAGCAUGGUGGUCUGUGCAUAGGGAA
rnacentral:piRNA from 1 species